rnacentral:rRNA from 1 species
CCUACGGGGAGCUGCAGUGAGGAAUAUUGGUCAAUGGCCGGAAGGCUGAACCAGCCAUGCCGCGUGAAGGUCAGUGCCCUAUGGGCGUUAAACUUCUUUUGUGCGGGAGCAAUAAUGGUCACGUGUGGCCAGACGAGAGUACCGUACGAAUAAGCAUCGGCUCACUCCGUGCCAGCAGCCGCGGUAAUACGGGGGAUGCAAGCGUUAUCCGGAUUUAUUGGGUUUAAAGGGUGCGUAGGCUGUGAGGUAAGUCAGCGGUGAAAUGCCCCCGCUCAACGGGGUGAAGUGCCAUUGAUACUGCCUGGCUGGAAUGCGGAUGCCGUGGGAGGAAUGUGUGGUGUAGCGGUGAAAUGCAUAGAUAUCACACAGAACACCGAUUGCGAAGGCAUCUCACGAAGCCGCGAUUGACGCUGAUGCACGAAAGCGUGGGUAUCAAACAGGAUUAGAUACCCUAGUAGUC